ACGACCCGCCCGCCUCGGCCUCCCAAGUGCUAGGAUUACAGGCGUGAGCCACCGCGCCCGGCCAGGAGGAUUCCUUUCCUUGUAAAAAUUACAGUUUUGUGGUAAAUUGGUCCUGGCGUUGAUGGAGUACCUGCUAAGUGCCUGCGGAACCCUUCUACCCACUUUACAUAGGUUACAUUCAAUCUCUGCUGUUGUAUUAUUAUUCCCAUUUUACAGAUCCUCGACAGAGCUGCCUGGAAAUGACAGAAAUCAGGCAAAGGAAGUCUGAUGAGCAGGUAAAGGCAAUUAAUGAAUCGCCCACAUGCCCCAUGGUGCACCUAGGUUGCAAAGCAGCCCAUAUUCUCUUCCUCUGGUAAUGGGAGGAGGUGGGAGAGAAGGGAAGGGGUGAGUGGGAGAGGAGGUGGUGAGGAUUUUGGUAAUGGGACUCAUUAGAAUUCAACAGUGGCCAGGAAUGUUCAGGGGACUUUGUUGGCCUCUCAUUUCAUUGCCAAUAAAAUGAAGAUGACUCUGGCCUGGUUUCACUGGGGGAGUGGAGGUGGGGAAGGUGGCAGCUUUGGAGACUAAUGUGAAAACAGAACUGAGAGGACUUGCUUAGGGAUGGGAUAGAUGGUGGCGAGAAAGAGAGGAGUCUGGAACGGAACCCCUGAUUUCAGCCUGAGCAAGUGGAAAGAUGGAUUGGCUGCUGUGAAAGUUGUCAGAGUCAAAAUGGAGUCACUGUGUCAAACUCUGACAAAUGGAGUGGGGGAAGACCACAAAGGGCAGGUUUUUAUGAAAAUGUACCUGAUAACAAGAACGAUCACCAAAGAAUCUGCAGAGGCCACAGCCUUGCACAAAGGCCACCACAACUUUACACAAAACAUACUUUUGUGAGGACAGCUGCCCAGCAACUGCCUGUGUAACCUUGGAUUGCUGCCACCCUUGUUAUUGAUCCUUGUAGCCAAGGAUAAUUGUCUUAAAACAACUUACAUAACCCUCUUCAUUUUUCCUUUAAAAACCUUUGUCUUCCUUUAUCACCCUGAAUCUAUCCACAUGUAUUCCCACUGCAAUGUCCAUGCCUGAAUAAAUACCAUUUUCUUUUAAA